GUUCCCGUAGCUCAACGGAUAGAGCAGUCCCCUCCUAAGGGACCGAUGGUGGUUCAAUUCCGCCCGGGAACA
rnacentral:tRNA from 1 species